GGUGAUGGGACAAAUGUAGAAGGCUGAACUUUCCAACAGCUGAACCCUUUAAGCACCUAUUCAAGACCACUUAUCUUGCCAGCUUUUUUUUUUGUUGCAACAUAGCGUGCGUAUGACAAACUUCUGAAUUACUCUCAAGAUUGAUAUGGUUCCUCCAAAAUUCUAGUUUUCCAAUUGAAUGCAAUCAACAGGUUCGACAAAGCCCAUAAAUCUGCCUUUCCAUGUAAAUGUUGUUAGACAAAGUAGUCCUGCAUUU
rnacentral:lncRNA from 1 species